rnacentral:rRNA from 1 species
UUGAGCGUCAAACUUUUAAAUUGAAGAGUUUGAUCAUGGCUCAGAUUGAACGCUGGCGGCAGGCCUAACACAUGCAAGUCGAACGGUAACAGGAA